rnacentral:lncRNA from 1 species
AACUCAUGAUCCAACCUUGAACAAUGGCAUUACAGCCAUCCCAUUGAUGCCCUAACUCUGUUCCGAAAUCAUCCCUAUUCAAGCUGCCAUCAACAAUUCCAAGCUUGUUCUUCCCAAGCAAUUGAAUACGCAUGGCCCUGCUCCAAAUUGAGUAAUUAUCGGAUCCAGUUAGCUGCAUCGGAAUGAUAGAUGUGCCAGUGGUGUCAGAAGGGUGC